AGUGAACGCUGGCGGUAGGCCUAACACAUGCAAGUCGAACGGCAGCACAGUAAGAGCUUGCUCUUACGGGUGGCGAGUGGCGGACGGGUGAGGAAUACAUCGGAAUCUACUUUUUCGUGGGGGAUAACGUAGGGAAACUUACGCUAAUACCGCAUACGACCUACGGGUGAAAGCAGGGGAUCUUCGGACCUUGCGCGAUUGAAUGAGCCGAUGUCGGAUUAGCUAGUUGGCGGGGUAAAGGCCCACCAAGGCGACGAUCCGUAGCUGGUCUGAGAGGAUGAUCAGCCACACUGGAACUGAGACACGGUCCAGACUCCUACGGGAGGCAGCAGUGGGGAAUAUUGGACAAUGGGCGCAAGCCUGAUCCAGCCAUGCCGCGUGGGUGAAGAAGGCCUUCGGAUUGUAAAGCCCUUUUGUUGGGAAAGAAAAGCAGCAGGUUAAUACCCCGCUGUUCUGACGGUACCCAAAGAAUAAGCACCGGCUAACUUCGUG
rnacentral:rRNA from 1 species